GAGGGUACAGCUCAAGUGGUAGAGAGCAUGCUUAGCAUGCAUGGGUCCUGGGUUCAAUCCCCAGUACCUCUU
rnacentral:tRNA from 1 species